UACGUAGGGGGCAAGCGUUGUUCGGAUUCAUUGGGCGUAAAGGGUGCGUAGGCGGCGCGGUAAGUCGGGUGUGAAAUCUUGGAGCUUAACUCCGAAACUGCAUUCGAUACUGCCGUGCUUGAGGACUGGAGAGGAGACUGGAAUUUACGGUGUAGCGGUGAAAUGCGUAGAUAAUCGUAAGGAAGACCAGUGGCGAAGGCGGGUCUCUGGACAGUUCCUGACGCUGAGGCACGAAGGCCAGGGGAGCAAACGGG
rnacentral:rRNA from 1 species